GUCCCUGUAGCGCAAUGAAUAGCGCGUUGGACUUCUGAUCCAAAGGUCGUGGAUUCAAAUCUCACUUGAGAUA